UCCCUCCAAGCAAGUCACCUUAUUAGUUCUCGUUUUAUUCACUACUAUUUAUAGGGGUUUGUCAUUAUAUUGGGGUCGGUGUUUGCCUUAUAAUGCUGGCUACGAAUCUGUAAGUAGUACGUUCAUCGACAAGAGCACUUGAAACAGAUGCAACCCACCAAAUCUUUACCUUCUCUACUUGCAUCAGGGAGUAGAGUUGCAGCUGCAUUAAUAAUGUAUCAUCAUUUCAGCAAAUAAUAUCUUCUCCGCUCACACAGUAAAGUUGUUACACAAUACUAGAAAUUUAUAUUUAAUUUUUCUUAUUCAGAGGUAAUCAUAAGCAAAAUCUGCAGAUAUAUUUUAUAUGGAGCCGCAUAAGCAACCACUUCAGCAAAAUCAACUUCAUUGGUGGCAUGUCGAUGUUGUUGAAAUCGGAAGAUUAUCUUGUCCAGCCAGGCCCAACUAUCUUGUCCUGAAGAACAAGAUUAUAGUAUAUGAUCUUGUUCAGCAGCGUAUUGGGUGGACUCCCUACGACCGCUCCUCCCCAAUGAACGUAUCGGUAGCGCUGAGUCCCCCGCUGUAUCACAAGGGUGGAGCCAGCUUAUUUAGAGGAGUUAGUGUACAUUAUCUGGUUAAUAUAUAUAUAUAUAUUAAGUUGUCUUUAUAUGAUAUUUAGGCGAUUAGUUGCUGGGAGCAAUUCGAUUCUGAUUGCUAUUAUUAACUCUGGAAUUCAAA